UUCUAAGGGCGUUGAAGCAUGAUCGCAAGGACAUGUGGAGCGCUUAGAAGUGAGAAUGCCGGUGUGAGUAGCGAAAGACGGGUGAGAAUCCCGUCCACCGAUUGACUAAGGUUUCCAGAGGAAGGCUCGUCCGCUCUGGGUUAGUCGGGUCCUAAGCUGAGGCCGACAGGCGUAGGCGAUGGAUAACAGGUUGAUAUUCCUGUACCACCAUUAUUCGUUUUAAGCGAUGGGGGGACGCAGUAGGAUAGGCGAAGCGUGCUGUUGGAGUGCACGUCCAAGCAGUGAGAUUGAGUGUUAGGCAAAUCCGGCACUCUUAAGAUUGAGCUGUGAUGGGGAGAGGAACUUGUUCCUCGAGUCGUUGAUUUCACACUGCCGAGAAAAGCCUCUAGCUAGAAUAACGGUGCCCGUACCGCAAACCGACACAGGUAGUCAAGAUGAGAAUUCUAAGGUGAGCGAGCGAACUCUCGUUAAGGAACUCGGCAAAAUGACCCCGUAACUUCGGGAGAAGGGGUGCUCUUUGAGGUUCACGCUUCGAAGAGCCGCAGUGAAUAGGCCCAAGCGACUGUUUAUCAAAAACACAGGUCUCUGCUAAACCGUAAGGUGACGUAUAGGGGCUGACGCCUGCCCGGUGCUGGAAGGUUAAGAGGAGUGGUUAGCGCAAGCGAAGCUACGAAUCGAAGCCCCAGUAAACGGCGGCCGUAACUAUAACGGUCCUAAGGUAGCGAAAUUCCUUGUCGGGUAAGUUCCGACCCGCACGAAAGGCGUAACGAUUUGGGCACUGUCUCAACGAGAGACUCGGUGAAAUCAUAGUACCGGUGAAGAUGCCGGUUACCCGCGACAGGACGGAAAGACCCCGUGGAGCUUUACUGUAGCCUGAUAUUGAAAUUCGGUACAGUUUGUACAGGAUAGGUAGGAGCCUUAGAAGCGUGAGCGCUAGCUUACGUGGAGGCAUUGGUGGGAUACUACCCUAAUUGUAUUGGAUUUCUAACCCGCAGCACUUAUCGUG
rnacentral:rRNA from 1 species